rnacentral:misc_RNA from 1 species
ACAGUCAGCUCCUCUAAAAUGAAUCAGCUUGCCAGUGUUUGGUGGGCAUCACAGGUGUGAUAACUAUCUACGCUUGUGGUUUUCCACCAGGUAGCCUCCAGCAGUGGAGGUUCACUGGAGCUCACAGAUGUCUCUCCUCAGUGAGGACAGCCCUUUGAACGUUUGAUCUCAAAUCAGGUAGGACUACCCGCUGAACUUAA